CCAGCUCCUGCCAACCUAGCAGUUCGAAAGCACGGCAAAGUGCAAGUAGAUAAAUAGGUACCACUCCGGCGGGAAGGUAAACGGCGUUUCCGUGCGCUGCUCUGGUUCGCCAGAAGCAGCUUAGUCCUGCUGGCCACAUGACCCGGAAGCUGUACGCCGGCUCCCUCGGCCAAUAAAGCGAGAUGAGCGCCGCAACCCCAGAGUCGUCCGCGACUGGACCUAAUUAUCAGGGGUCCCUUUACCUUUACCUUAC